GGUCUCGGAUUCUGCCAGUCAUUUCUGCCAGUUCCAUAUAGUCAAUCACCUUCAUCUGCCUUUCUUCCAGGGUGGGUAGAUCUUGUGUCUUCCAAUACUUUGCAAUAAGUAUUCUUGCUGCUGUUGUGGCAUACAUGAAAAAAGUUCUAUCCUUCUUUGGCACCAAUUGGCCGACUAUGCCCAGGAGAAAGGCCUCUGGUUUCUUCAAGAAAGUAUAUUUAAAUACUUUUUUCAAUUCAUUAUAGAUCAUCUCCCAGAAAGCCUUAAUCCUUGGACACGUCCACCAAAGGUGAAAGAAUGUACCUUCAGUUUCUUUACAUUUCCAACAUUUAUUAUCGGGCAAAUGAUAGAUUUUUGCAAGCUUGACUGGAGUCAUGUACCACCUGUAUACCAUUUUCAUAAUAUUCUCUCUUAAGGCAUUACAUGCCGUAAACUUCAUACCUGUGGUCCAUAACUGUUCCCAGUCAGCCAUCAUUAUAUUAUGUCCAACGUCUUGUGCCCAUUUAAUCAUAGCAGAUUUCACCGUUUCAUCCUGAGUAUUCCAUUUCAACAGCAAGUUAUACAUCUUUGACAAAAUCUUAGUUUUGGGUUCUAACAGUUCUGUUUCUAAUUUUGAUUUUUCCACCUGGAAGCCAAUUUUCUUGUCCGAGUUAUAUGCCUCCAUUAUCUGAUAAUAAUGAAGCCAAUCUCGCACUUUGUUUUUUAGUUUCUCAAAGCUCUGCAAUUUCAGUCUAUCUCCCUCUUGUUCCAAAAUUUCCCAAUAUUUCGGCCAUUUGGCCUCCAUAUUGAGCUUUUUCAGUGCUUUUGCUUCCAUCGGUGACAGCCACCUUGGAGUUUUGUUUUCCAAUAAAUCCUUAUAUCUUAUCCAGACAUUAAACAAUGCUUUCCUGACAAUAUGAUUCUUAAAUGCUUUAUGUGCUUUGACCUUAUCAUACCACAGAUAUGCAUGCCAUCCAAAUACAUUGUUAAAACCUUCUAAAUCCAAAAUGUCUGUGUUUUCAAGAAGCAGC